GGACGGAUGGCGGAGUCUGGUUUAACGCACCGGUUUUGAAAACCGGCGUGCUCGCAAGAGUACCGGGGGUUCAAAUCCCUCUCCGUCCGC
rnacentral:tRNA from 1 species